rnacentral:rRNA from 1 species
GAUGAACGCUGGCGGCGUGCCUAAUACAUGCAAGUCGAGCGAAUGGAUUAAGAGCUUGCUCUUAUGAAGUUAGCGGCGGACGGGUGAGUAACACGUGGGUAACCUGCCCAUAAGACUGGGAUAACUCCGGGAAACCGGGGCUAAUACCGGAUAACAUUUUGAACCGCAUGGUUCGAAAUUGAAAGGCGGCUUCGGCUGUCACUUAUGGAUGGACCCGCGUCGCAUUAGCUAGUUGGUGAGGUAACGGCUCACCAAGGCAACGAUGCGUAGCCGACCUGAGAGGGUGAUCGGCCACCCUGGGACUGAGACACGGCCCAGACUCCUACGGGAGGCAGCAGUAGGGAAUCGUCCGCGAUGGACGAAAGUCUGACGGAGCAACGCCGCGUGAGUGAUGAAGGCUUUCGGGUCGUAAAACUCUGUUGUUAGGGAAGAACAAGUGCUAGUUGAAUAAGCUGGCACCUUGACGGUACCUAACCAGAAAGCCACGGCUAACUACGUGCCAGCCGCCGCGGUAA